rnacentral:rRNA from 1 species
CCGGCGACCGGCGCACGGGUGAGUAACACGUAUGCAACCUGCCCUCUUCAGGGGGACAACCUUCCGAAAGGGAGGCUAAUCCCGCGUAUAUCGGUUUCGGGCAUCCGGGAUCGAGGAAAGAUUCAUCGGAAGAGGAUGGGCAUGCGGCGCAUUAGCUAGACGGCGGGGUAACGGCCCACCGUGGCGACGAUGCGUAGGGGUUCUGAGAGGAAGGUCCCCCACACUGGUACUGAGACACGGACCAGACUCCUACGGGAGGCAGCAG